GACGAACGCUGGCGGCACGCUUAACACAUGCAAGUCGAACGGUGAAGAGAAGCUUGCUUCUUGGAUCAGUGGCGGACGGGUGAGUAACACGUGAGCAACCUGCCUUUAAGAGGGGGAUAACGUUCGGAAACGGACGCUAAUACCGCAUAAUAUAAAGGAUUCGCAUGUUUCCUUUAUCAAAGAUUUAUCGCUUAAAGAAUGGGCUCGCGCCUGAUUAGCUAGUUGGUGAGGUAAAGGACUCACCAAGCCGACGAUCUUUAGCUGGUCUGAGAGGAUGAUCAGCCACACUGGGACUGAGGCACGGCCCAG
rnacentral:rRNA from 1 species